UACGGAGGGUGCGAGCGUUGUCCGGAAUCAUUGGGCGUAAAGGGCGCGUAGGUGGCCCGGUCAGUCAGUGGUGAAAGCGCGGGGCUCAACUCCGCGUCGGCCAUUGAUACUGCUGGGCUGGAGCACUGUAGAGGCAGGCGGAAUUCCGGGUGUAGCGGUGAAAUGCGUAGAUAUCGGGAGGAACACCUGUGGCGAAAGCGGUCACUGGACCAUAACUGACGCUGAGGCACGAAGGCUAGGGGAGACAAACAGGAGUUAGCAAAACCCUGGGUUA
rnacentral:rRNA from 1 species